rnacentral:misc_RNA from 1 species
UUUCCGUAGGUGAACCUGCGGAAGGAUCAUUAUUGAACCUUGAAUCGUAGCAUUGCGAUCUGUUGCUGACCUGUUAAAGGGUAUGUGCACGUUCGACGUGUUGCGUUCUAUUCAUCCACCUGUGCACCUUUGUAGACUUGAUUAACUUUCGCUCUCGAGCGGUUAGAAGGGUUGCUUUCGGGCUCCCUUUGUCUAUCAAGUCUAUGUCUAUGUAAUCUCUUGUAUGUCUAGAAUGUCUUGUUUAUGGGACGCAAGUCCUUUAAAUCUUAUACGACUUUCAACAACGGAUCUCUUGGCUCUC